AGUGGUCCAAUAUUUGUUUGAAAUCUGUGUUGCUGCUAACCCUCCCUGCGCACCAUCUGCCUGCGGUCUCAUUACCAAUAUUAGCUACCCUUUCCGCCUCAAGGAUGAUCCCUUCCACUGCGGUGAUCACAGAGCUGAAUUAGCCUGCGAAAACAAUGUCACCUCCAUCUCUCUUAAUUCUCACAAAUACUACGUCACACAAAUCAACUACGCCGCCAGCGGCUCCACCAUUAGGCUCGUCGAUGCUUCCAUAAACAAUCACUUCAUCUGCUCUUUUCCCAACUAUUCUUGUCAAAAACAUUCCAGUUCUUGUUUGUGCAGGGGUGAGCUUCCCCUUGAUUAUCGUAAUUGGAUUCACCGGUUUAUUAGGACUCUUAUUUAUUGUCUUUCGACUGACACAAAAAUGGACCCUUUCAUUUGAUGAAGCAGACCAUGAGACCGACACAUGGGCGUUGGUCACUGAUUUGCUAACGGUCGCGGUUGAUAUGUUAAUUAGUGUUGGGGAAGGGGAAUGAAGAUCCAACUCUAAUCUUUCACCAUUACAUAGAUGAGGGAUACUACUAGGCUAAUAUUUGUUCAUUUUCAAAAUUGAGGAAUUGUGAUCAGUUU